UACAGAGGCCACAAGCGUUAGUCGGAAUCACUGGGCUUAAAGGGUGCGUAGGUGGGCCUGUAAGUGUUCUGUGAAAGCCCUCAGCUCAACUGAGGAACAGCAGGGCAUACUACAGGCCUCGAGGCAAGUAUGGGUGGGCAGAACAGUAGGUGGAGCGGUGAAAUGCGUAGAUAUCUACUGGAAUGCCGAUGGUGAAGACGGCCCACUGGGCUUGUCCUGACACUGAGGCACGAAAGCGUGGGGAGCAAACAGG
rnacentral:rRNA from 1 species